GCCUGUGGCGCUGGGUGAGGCUGUCAUGUGAGGGAGAGCUCAACAUGGCUUCCUGUGUGUCAGUGGGAGGCGAGGCCAUUGGGAAAGGCAGAGAUAUACGUGUGGUGAAGACGCCAGCACCUUGUGAGUACACGCACUAAGUGCGUCAUCAAAUGCUGGGUCUUCCGUGUCUGCUCUCUAGCUUGGCCCUGCAAGUCCUCUUAGCUACAGAGUCUGCCUCUAGGCCCUGUCAGUCCUUUCUCAUCCCUCUGUCAGCUCUGGCUCGGCCUUCUGCCCUAGCUCUCCCUCCCUUUGCCCAUUUGAGAGUCACUCAGGUUGGCUGGCUCCUGAGAUCUCCUUUAUCUCCAUGUGUGGCUUAUGCACAAGCAGUCCUCCUUAGUCGGUGUUCGUGCUUGUAUUUGUGAGCAGGCCUGUCGG
rnacentral:lncRNA from 1 species